rnacentral:rRNA from 1 species
GGGGCGGCUAUCCCCCUUAAGGAGCGGAGGCCAGGGAGUAAUUCCUUGGCCGGAAGGCCCGGUAAUUCUUGUAAAAUCCCUCUGCUGGGAUAAGAACAAUCCAAUUAUUGCUCUUCAACGAGGAUCCUAGUAAGCGCAAGUCAUCAGCUUGCGUGAUUAACGUCCCUGCCCUUUGUACACACCGCCGUCGCUAUACCGAUUGAAUGGCUCAGUGAAGCGUCCGGACUGGCCCAGGGAGGUGGGCAACUACCACCCAGGGCCGGAAAGCUCUCCAAACUCGGUCAUUUAGAGGAAGUAAAAGUCGUAACAAGGUCUCCGUUGGUGAACCAGCGGAGGGAUCAUUACCGAGUUAUCCAACUCCCAACCCCUGUGAAUUAUACCUUUAAUUGUUGCUUCGGCGGGACUUCGCGCCCGCCGGGGACCCAAACCUUCUGAAUUUUUUAAUAAGUAUCUUCUGAGUGGUUAAAAAAAUGAAUCAAAACUUUCAACAACGGAUCUCUUGGUUCUGGCAUCGAUGAAGAACGCAGCGAAAUGCGAUAAGUAAUGUGAAUUGCAGAAUUCAGUGAAUCAUCGAAUCUUUGAACGCACAUUGCGCCCGUCAGUAUUCUGGCGGGCAUGCCUGUUCGAGCGUCAUUACGCCCCUCAAGUCCCCUGUGGACUUGGUGUUGGGGAUCGGCGAGGCUGGUUUUCCAGCGCAGCCGUCCCUCAAAUCAAUUGGCGGUCUCGCCGUGGCCCUCCUCUGCGCAGUAGUAAAACACUCGCAACAGGAGCCCGGCGCGGUCCACUGCCGUAAAACCCCCCAACUUUUUAUAGUUGACCUCGAAUCAGGUAGGACUACCCGCUGAACUUAAGCAUAUCAAUAAGCGGAGGAAAAGAAACCAACAGGGAUUGCCCCAGUAACGGCGAGUGAAGCGGCAACAGCUCAAAUUUGAAAUCUGGUCCCCAGGGCCCGAGUUGUAAUUUGCAGAGGAUGCUUUUGGUGAGGUGCCUUCCGAGUUCCCUGGAACGGGACGCCAUAAGGUGAGAGCCCCGUCUGGUUGGAUACCGAGCCUCUGUAAGCUCCUUCGACAAGUCAAUAUUUGGAAUGCUGCUCUAAUGGGAGGAUAUGCUUCUAAAGCUAAUUUGGCCAAAACCUUCUUCCUAAAGCAAAAAUUUUGGGCCAAAAGA